UACGAAGGGGGCUAGCGUUGCUCGGAAUUACUGGGCGUAAAGGGAGCGUAGGCGGACAGUUUAGUCAGAGGUGAAAGCCCAGGGCUCAACCUUGGAAUUGCCUUUGAUACUGACUGUCUUGAGUAUGGGAGAGGUAAGCGGAACUCCGAGUGUAGAGGUGAAAUUCGUAGAUAUUCGGAAGAACACCAGUGGCGAAGGCGGCUUACUGGCCCAUUACUGACGCUGAGGCUCGAAAGCGUGGGGAGCAAACAGG
rnacentral:rRNA from 2 species